rnacentral:misc_RNA from 1 species
GUAUGUAUAUAUACAUACAUACAUGCAUUUGUAAAUAUAUGGAUUUGUGUAUGUGUAAACAAAGUGAGGGAGUGACAUGAAAAGACAGGAAAAAAGGAACAAGAGACGAAUUCUUGCAGACAAAAUUUUGUAAAUACAGCUAAAUGGAUGAAAGUAAAGCAAUUAAUAAUACCUGUCUUUAAGAACAUUUGAUGUAGAAAUUCUAAUCAACUUUGUUUAGCCUCAGCCAAGAUCUCAAAAAAAAUAAAUAAAAGGAAAACCAUUAUUUGUCAAGAAUACCUAAUUCAUUUCUAUUUACUACCAUGUUGGUUCUUUCCUUUUGGAGUAUUUUAUUCUUCACCUUUCCUCAUUUUACAGAUGCCCAGAACACAACGUGGAACGUAGAAAUUUGUUUCUUUGAGGCAUAUUACUACUCAGCCGCAGUUACUUUGAACAAUGAAUCGAAAACCACAAGAAGUUUAGAGUUGCAAAAAUGCUUCAACAAUAAUUUUGAAUUAAACAGUAGAGAAAAGCCAAGUUCUAUUGAAGUUAACGAGCAUACUGGUUAUAAGGCAGUUGUUCAAAAUAAAGAUCUUCAAGAAAUGUAUGCUUUAGAGUGCCUGUCACAAUGUCAUGGGAACCAAAAGUUAGAAAAAUGGACACACUGGAACCUUGAAGUUAUACAUAGUGAGAUAAACGACAGUUAUGACUAUUCGUUUGAGAUAAGGCCUUAUGGUGAAGAGAAUAUAGUGUUUAAAACAAAUUCUAGGACAUCAAACACAUUGUUUCUGCCUACGGAAAUGAAUAGAAAGUCCAGAAUAGAGUUAUUUACUACAGGAAAAUUUUGGCCAGAAAAGAUUGUAUUUGCUCAAAAUGAAGAUCUUCAAGAAAUGUAUGCUAUUGAGGGCCUGUCAGGUUGUCCUGGAAACCAGAAAUUAGAAGAAUGGACACACUGGAACCUUAAAUUUAUACAUAGAGAGAUAAACGACAGUUAUGACUAUUCCAUUGAGAUAAGGCCUUAUGGUGAAAAGAAUAUAAUGUUUAAAACAAAUUCUACGACAUCAAACGCAUCAUUGUUUCUGCCCACGAAAAGGAAUAGAAAGUCAAGAACAGAGUUAUUAACCACAGGAAAAUCUUGUCCGGAAAAGAUUAUCAAACUGAAGAACAUGGAAACUACCAAGAUAUAUUCCUGUAGUGAUAUUCUUAACCAAAGUAAUCCUUACAAUGAGUGUUCAUUGAGAAAUGAUCUUAUGUGGAUAAUAGAACUAACCUCUCAUUCCAAACUAAUUAGCCUCGUCACACAGGUAACGAUAUUUGUUGGAGUGACCAGCAAUGGAACAAACUCUUCACAAGAACUAACAUUCAGAAAGUCAGCUUAUUCCCCCACAUUCUCUGCUUCUACCAAUAUUGGAACCGUAAGCAUUGAUGAGGUUGAAAUAUACUUUGAAGAUUAUAACGAAUCUUUUGACAUAUCCAAAAUUGUUAUGACAGGAAUACGUACUGGAGAAGAAUAUGGUUGUGUUAACAUCACUAAGACAAUCCCAGCUAAAUAUUCGUGUAAACUAUGGAAAAGCAAAAAUUGGCUGUUGAAAGUUAUUUCUCCUGAAGAACAAGAAAGAAAGUUUGUUGUAGAAUUUAUUCAAGACAAGUUAUCUUCUUUCUCCAGAAACUUGACAUGGAAUCGUUCCACUUUUUACGGAGAUAGUCAUAUCAUGUAUUUUAAUCUAAAGACGUAUGAAGACGAUGAAGUUACAAGCUUAAAACUCCAUUUCUUCGAUAAAUCCUUCAGAAUCAAUAAGCUUAACCAAGAAUCACCCAGAGUUUAAAUUCAAAACAAAUGAAGAAAGAAAAUUGCAGAAUAGUUCGGUGACAGAAUUUACUCGAAUACCAAAAGAGGAGAAAGGAGAGAAAAU